rnacentral:lncRNA from 1 species
GUUUGUUUUGCCCGCCUCACAAUUAUGCCAAUCACCAAGACUACGAGUUUGCAAAGAGAAAGGAUGUAAUCACAAGGCCACCAAGAAAGGAAGCAGGAGAACCAGUCUCAAAUCUGCCUCUCCAAAAGUGGAGACUCAGGGAAUUUAUGGGGUAGGGAGCAAGGUGGUCUGAAAUGUAAGGUUGAUGACUGGAGGUGAGAAGUGAGGUCCUUGAUGAUCUGUGCAAGCAUAGUCAAGCUUCAUGGCUCUUCAUAGGAUGCAUGUUCACAAAAUGGCGGUGUUAGCAGGCCCAGUCGAUGAUUUGUUGGCCUCAGCCAGCCUGAACUGGACCAGGAGCUGACUCUCGCUUCCUGAAAAACUUGAGCAGCCCGCCUGUGAACUUGGUGACCCAAGCCCCAGAGACGUUAUCUACAGGAUCGGCUUUAGGAAAGUGAUAUCUAACUAACUACUUUUGCAAACAGACAACUGAGUACAGUGACAGAAUGACAGCCUCAUCUCGCUGAAGAAAAAUAGGAAUAUCUUUGGGCACAUAACUGAAGAGUCCAGAAGAGUGCAGACUUCAAGCAGAGAUGCGAGAUCUUGUGUCAACUGUUCAUCGAAACCUCCUCCUCUCUGUCCUGCUCUCUUUCUGCCUCACUGUCUCUAACUCUUUUUUCACUCUUUCUCCACUCCCCCUCCCCUCCGAUCUCCUCUCUUUCUCUCCAUGUCUCAAAUCUGCUUUUCCUGGUGUUGGUUUUAUUCUCUGGAAAUUUCGUUCCCCUCGUAAAAUAGAUGGUAUCUUACAGUGCUCCAGGAAUAUAUUCUGGUUUAUAGCCUAUAAUUUCAGAGAGAAAGGCUAUGGUACAAGUACUGGGAAUGACCCUGACUGGCCAAGGUUUGGUGACUUUCCCAUCCCUGAAGAGGGAGAUUGGUUCUCUGUGCUCCAUGUGAGCGAGAGGCUCUCUUACCAGAAGAAGAGAAAGAAAAACGUUUUAUGCAGAUGAAUCUCAGCUUCUACAGUCUAAUUUCUGGGAGCUAUUUGGAGUGGGGAUUAAUCAACACUUGGCUUCAUCUUUUUACAGCAGGGAUCAAAGUUUCUAUUUCACCUUGAUGUUACAUGCUUUCAACAAUUCUACAGCAGAGAUGGAAGAGGAGAACAGGGAGAAAGAGGGGGAAAGCAAUGCUGAAAUUUUAUUGUUCUCUCUGCUAAGAAUACAACAGCUGAAUCACUGCCCUUCAAAUUAUGAAAAAUAUUUUCUUUUUCUAGGAAGAUUAGCCCAGAGCUAACAUCUGCUGCCAAUCCUCUUCUUUUUGCUGAGGAAGACUGGUCCUGAGCUAACAUCUGUGCCCAUCUUCCUUUACUUUAUAUGUGGGAUGCUGCCACAGUCCAUACCUGGGAUCAGAACUGGCGAACCCUGGGCCGCUGAAGCAGAAUGUGCAAAUUUAUCUGCUGCGCCACUGGGCCGGCCUGAAAAAAUAUUUUCAAAACUAGAAACAUGCACUGUUUUGAUGAAAUUGGAGUUCCAAAUUCCGAUUUGACUACUGUGUUAUUAGAGUUAAAAGGUAGUUACAUCUUGUCAAGAAUUAAGUGCUGGAAUAAGAUUUUUUAAAACAAAAUGGAGAGUUCUAAGUUUGGGUCUGCCGCCAACUCUUUACGAGAUCUUUGUUGCUUAAUCUGUUAUCAAAUAAAAAAUGUAUGAG